AGGCUUUGAUCCUGGCUCAGGACGAACGCUGGCGGCGUGCCUAACACAUGCAAGUCGAGCGGUUCGAUGUUUAGCACCGAGUGUUUUGUAAAAAACAUUGGGUGCUAAACAUCGGAUAGCGGCGGACGGGUGAGUAACGCGUGAGCAAUCUGCCCUUUACAGGGGAAUAACACAGGGAAACCUGUGCUAAUACCCCAUGACAUAUCUUUGUGGCAUCACAGAGAUAUCAAAGGAGUAAUCCGGUAGAGGAUGAGCUCGCGUCCGAUUAGCUAGUUGGUGGGGUAAAGGCCUACCAAGGCGACGAUCGGUAGCCGAACUGAGAGGUUGAUCGGCCACAUUGGGACUGAGACACGGCCCAGACUCCUACGGGAGGCAGCAGUGGGGAAUAUUGCGCAAUGGGGGAAACCCUGACGCAGCAACGCCGCGUGAAGGAUGAAGGUCUUCGGAUUGUAAACUUCUUUGAUGAGGGAC
rnacentral:rRNA from 1 species